rnacentral:tRNA from 1 species
GAGAGAGGCUCGCAGCACGGGGGACUGCUAAUCCCCACGACCCUUGGUUGGACCCCAAGGCUCACUCG